AUGGACGUGGCCUUCUACUACAGCCCGUGCUACGUCCGCCUAUCCGACGUCCACGACUUUCUGGACCCCACCGGCAACUCCGGCGAGGUAGAUCUCCUUACCGGCGCCGACAUCAUCAGCACCGACGUCCAUGCCUACCAACAGGCGGUCACCGGCUUUCUCACCGCCACGGUGCAGUAUGCUGUGGACAACUCCUCCAGGCUCUUCGCCACGGGGCAUUGGGUAGGGCCCGACCGCAAUAUGUACUCGGCGGCGCAGUGCGCACCGGACCUGUCGCCGGCGCAGUGCCGAAACUGCCUGCAACGCCUCGUGGGCAAGUGGUGGACCACGUUCCCCCACUUGGAUUUGGAGGGCGCCAGCAUCGCUGGUCCACGCUGCACCUUGAGGUACCAAGUGUCCCCGUUCUACAUUGGCAGCGCCAUGUUGCAACAGACCAAGCAGGCGGCUGAACCGGCGCCAGCUCCAGCUGCUACUGCUACUCCUACGAGAGGUCAGUCGGCUAGCUACCUGCCUCUGCCCCGAAAACAAUUUCAUUGGUUGUUUAUGCACCUCGAUUUAUUGCUUGUGUUACCAAAUCAAACGCGGCCUCCCGUGUCGCCCUGUGCGGUGACCGGGGGGGAAACCGUAGCGCCGCGUCCUCGUCCCUCCCCCGACCUCUCCUCCUCGCCACCGCCAGGGCGCGCCGCUGGGAUCUCUUCUCCCACGGCUCGCUGGAUCAGGCGCGAGCGAAUCGCGGCGGUGGUUGGCGGCGCACUGGAGGCGGGGCCCGCCGGCGCAGGCUUGGGGGCGACGGCAGUUUUCCCUGGUGUGCGUGGGAGUCCGCUUGGGGCGCGCGGCGGCGGCCCUCGGCAAGCGGUGGCGGGCGCUGGGUUCUUGGCGGCGCUCCGGCGUGUGCAGUCGGCGGUGGUCCCUGUGCGCGGUCGGCGGCUCCGUCUCUGA
rnacentral:rRNA from 1 species